CCGAGUGGAGCGAGCGAGCCGAGUGGCCGUGCAGUCGCGUCUCGGAAACCGGUAGCGCUUUCAGCAUGGCUGACCAACUGACUGAAGAGCAGAUUGUAGAAUUCAAAUAAGCUUAUUUACUGUUUGACAAAGAUGGUGAUGAAACUAUAACAGCAAAGGAACUGGGAACAGAAAUGAGGCCUCUUUGGCAGUCCCCCAGAAGCAGAGUUACAGGACAUGAUUUAUGAAGUAGAUACCGAUAGUAAUGGCACAGUGGCUUCCCUGAAUUUCUGACAAUGAUGGCAAGAAAAAUGAAAGAUGCAGGCAGUGAAGAAGAAAUGAGAGAAGUAUUCUGUGUGUUUGAUAAGGAUGGCAAUGGUUAACUAGCGCAGCAGAACUUCACCAUGUGAUGAUGAACUUUGGAGAGAAGUUAACAGAUGAAGAGGCUGAUGAAAAAAUGAUCAGGGAAGCAGAUAUUGAUGGUGAUAGUCAAGUAAACUAUGAAGAGUUUGCAUAGGCUGGGCACGGUGGCUCACA